UACGUAGGGUGCAAGCGUUAUCCGGAAUUAUUGGGCGUAAAGAGCUCGUAGGUGGUUUGUCGCGUUGUUCGUGAAAACUCACAGCUCAACUGUGGGCGUGCGGGCGAUACGGGCAGACUAGAGUACUGCAGGGGAGACUGGAAUUCCUGGUGUAGCGGUGGAAUGCGCAGAUAUCAGGAGGAACACCGGUGGCGAAGGCGGGUCUCUGGGCCGAUACUGACACUGAGGAGCGAAAGCGUGGGGAGCGAACAGG
rnacentral:rRNA from 1 species